GUAUGUGUGUGUCAACAAUUAUUUUAAUAAUUAUCUCAAAUCAAUAUCAAUUUGUGAAUCAUAUUUACUACAAAUUUAAAAUUUUAAAUUGUAAAUUUAUAUGUUAUAUUUUAUUGAAAAAAUAUCUCAUAUUUUAAAUAUUAGUAGGUAAAAUUGAGAUAAUUUUUAUAUAUUCACUUUUAAAAAAAUAUGAUUAAAUAUUAUAUAUGCGGAAGGUAUUAUGUGAUUGGAUAUUAUAUAGGUGGCGGAUAUUACGUGUGAGAAUAAAAAUAUUUAAGAAAUGCAAAUAUUAUUUGUAAUAAAAUAUGAUAUUAUGUUGGCGGCGGUUAUUAGGAGAUAUGACACGCGUAUAAAAAGUGAAAUUUGAUACGUACCAUCUAAGGGCAAUUUAGGUAAAAAAAGUGACAGAUACUUAAUUCGUCAGUCAUUGGAUUAGAUCGAAUGACUAAGAAUUAAUAUAUUUUAUAAUAAUUUAAAAAUAAAAUAAAAAUUAUACGGCUGUGAUUUAUUUCAUUAAAGUUGAAUGAAUGAUAUUAUUAGUAUGUAAUUGGAAUUAUAUUAAUAGGGAUCGGCAUUUUGGGAAAGAGAAAAAAUUCAAAACUCACCCUUUUAUAAGUAGUAUAGAUAUAGAUUAGCAUUUCUCUUAUCUUUUACUUCAAUAUUUUGGAGUCUAGCU
rnacentral:lncRNA from 1 species